UACGUAGGGUGCAAGCGUUGUCCGGAAUUAUUGGGCGUAAAGAGCUCGUAGGCGGUCUGUCGCGUCGGCUGUGAAAUCCCGAGGCUCAACCUCGGGUCUGCAGUCGAUACGGGCAAACUAGAGUAUUGCAGGGGAGACUGGAAUUCCUGGUGUAGCGGUGAAAUGCGCAGAUAUCAGGAGGAACACCAGUGGCGAAGGCGGGUCUCUGGGCGAUAACUGACGCUGAGGAGCGAAAGCGUGGGGAGCGAACAGG
rnacentral:rRNA from 1 species